rnacentral:tRNA from 1 species
GGGGCUAUAGCUUAAAAGGAAGAGCACUUGCAUGGCAUGCAAGAGGGAGGCGGUUCGAGCCCGCUUAGCUCCA